rnacentral:rRNA from 1 species
UACACUCCUGCGGGAGGCAGCAGUGGGGAAUUUUGGACAAUGGGCGAAAGCCUGAUCCAGCAAUGCCGCGUGAGUGAAGAAGGCCUUCGGGUUGUAAAGCUCUUUUGUCAGGGAAGAAACGGUGAAAGCUAAUAUCUUUUGCUAAUGACGGUACCUGAAGAAUAAGCACCGGCUAACUACGUGCCAGCAGCCGCGGUAAUACGUAGGGUGCAAGCGUUAAUCGGAAUUACUGGGCGUAAAGCGUGCGCAGGCGGUUUUGUAAGUCUGAUGUGAAAUCCCCGGGCUCAACCUGGGAAUUGCAUUGGAGACUGCAAGGCUAGAAUCUGGCAGAGGGGGGUAGAAGUCCACGUGUAGCAGUGAAAUGCGUAGAUAUGUGGAGGAACACCGAUGGCGAAGGCAGCCCCCUGGGUCAAGAUUGACGCUCAUGCACGAAAGCGUGGGGAGCAAACAGGAUUAGAAACCCUUGUAGUCCCAUGA